GGCCUCAUCCAGCCCAUCCCCGGCCCGCUGCGGGUACUGGAUGAGGCCUUGCACAAUCAAAAGAAGGAAUGUAGUAGCAAUCAUGGCCUGAGAAGUUUGAGAGGUUUGAGUAUUAAAUGGCAUUGAUUCUUCCUAUGGAGAUAAAAGACUACAAAUAAAUUAACAUUAAAGGGAUAUGCCCUUGAG
rnacentral:lncRNA from 12 species